GGAUAGGGAAAGUGAGGAAAAUGUCAAUCACCAUUAAAGUAGGAUGGAUGAAGUGUAUAAGUGCAACAAAGGUAAAGUGUGCGAUUGCAAAAUACCAAAUAAGCUAAAGGAAGAGUUUUACAGAAUCAUGAUCUGAACAACUAUGAUCACUAUGAGUAUGACAUUAAGAAUUGAGCAGUAAUGGAGAAACACACAUUAGUUUGACACAUGAUGAUGCUGGGACAGACAAGUGAAAAUAGAGGGAUGAAUGAAAUAAGGAAUAAAUGCAUUGAUAAGAUGGCAAAAAUAGCAACCAUCGAGGAAAAGAUGGGACAAUGGAGAUUGAGAUAAUUUGGACACAUGCAUAAUAGUCUAGCACAUUUAAGUUAUAGAAAAUAAGAAAACAUGGGACAGACCUAGAAUGACAUAGGUGGAAGUAUUAAAAGGAUAUAG
rnacentral:misc_RNA from 1 species